CACAGAAACACACCUUGCAUCCCUUACACAUACAAACACAGAUUCACACAAUGCAUCCCUUAAACACAACCAGAAACACACAACACAUGCCUUACACACAAACACACACUGCUUUCUAUCCCUUACACAAAAACACACUGCAUCACCUAUACAAACUGGUAUCCCUAUACACUACAUUCCAUAAGCCCACACUUUAGAUCCUCUACACUAACGCAUCCCCUACACACUCCACUCCCUGUGAGCAAACUCAUGGGUGGAACAUGUAGGUGGACUUAUGGGUGGACUCACAGACCUUGAACUGUGCAAGCGGCCCCCCAAAAAUGGAGCUGCUUCCCGUUCCCCCAAAACAUUGACUUUUGUGACCACAGUUACAAGCAACCACCAGAGAUCCUGUUCUACACCAGACCAGUGGAGCCAGACUGCAGCCAGAGCCCAUCACCAUCCUCAUCUGGUUGUAAGUAUACAAUCCAGUAUAUUACUCAUUGAACUAAUCUCUAAUUUACAUUAAAGGGACACUAUAGUCCCCAGAACCACUGCAGCUUAAUGAAGUGGUUCUGGUGUCUAUAGCCGGUCCCUGCAGACUUUUUAAUGUAAACACACACUGUGUGCAGCACUGGCAUUAGUUUAUAUGGCAGGUCAUAUGGGUGGGGCAUUGUGAUGUCACAUGAGGGGUGGGGGGACGGCAAAUUUUUAUCCUUGCACCGGCCCUGGUUUCAUGUGAAAUCAUCCAUGGUCUCAACGUUCAGAGGUGUAUUUCUUAACUGUGAAGGAAUAGAAUGACUUCUGGCAAAGGUAAAAUCCAUAAAAUGUCCGGCUGCCCCUAAGUUUAACAAUGCUACAGUAUUUAGUUAAUUCUUCUCUCAGAUUAGGAAAUGGGAAUAUGGAACCUGUGAUCUUUGUCUUUAUACAUGCAGGACAUAGUAGAAACACCCAAAGCCUGUCAUCCAGCAGAACUUAGAUGCGGGAGGUUUCAGGCCUACAAGGAUAAGUUCAGCGAGAAUAACUUGUUUCUG